rnacentral:misc_RNA from 1 species
UUCAUUUAUUUAAUCAAUACUCCGACGCAAAGAGACAGCGUUGGUUGGUCCUCCGGGGGCGGCGACGGACGCUCUGCCCCCGAGGCAAAAGGGUUUUGGUCAACAGUGGGUUGGGGACGGGGGCACGGAGGCCCGCCAUCUCUGGUAAUGAUCCCUCCGCAGGUUCACCUACGGAGA